CAAUAGCGUAUAUUAAAGUUGUUGCGGUUAAAAAGCUCGUAGUUGGAUUUCUGCCGAGGACGACCGGUCCGCCCUCCGGGUGAGUAUCUGGCUCGGCCUGGGCAUCUUCUUGGAGAACGUAACUGCACUUGGCUGUGUGGUGCGGUAUUCAGGACUUUUACUUUGAGGAAAUUAGAGUGUUUCAAGCAGGCACACGCCUUGAAUACAUUAGCAUGGAAUAAUAAGAUAGGACCUCGGUUCUAUUUUGUUGGUUUCUAGAUCUAAGGUAAUGAUUAAUAGGGAUAGUUGGGGGCAUUCGUAUUUAACUGUCAGAGGUGAAAUUCUUGGAUUUGUUAAAGACGGACUACUGCGAANGNAUUUGCNAAGGAUGUUUNCAUUG
rnacentral:rRNA from 1 species